rnacentral:rRNA from 1 species
AGUGAACGCUGGCGGUAGGCCUAACACAUGCCAGUCGAACGGCAGCACAGUAAGAGCUUGCUCUUACGGGUGGCGAGUGGCGGACGGGUGAGGAAUACAUCGGAAUCUACUUUUUCGUGGGGGAUAACGUAGGGAAACUUACGCUAAUACCGCAUACGACCUACGGGUGAAAGCAGGGGAUCUUCGGACCUUGCGCGAUUGAAUGAGCCGAUGUCGGAUUAGCUAGUUGGCGGGGUAAAGGCCCACCAAGGCGACGAUCCGUAGCUGGUCUGAGAGGAUGACCAGCCACACUGGAACUGAGACACGGUCCAGACUCCUACGGGAGGCAGCAGUGGGGAAUAUUGGACAAUGGGCGCAAGCCUGAUCCAGCCAUACCGCGUGGGUGAAGAAGGCCUUCGGGUUGUAAAGCCCUUUUGUUGGGAAAGAAAAGCAGCAGGUUUAUACCCCGCUGUUCUGACGGUACCCAAAGAAUAAGCACCGGCUAACUUCGUG